UUCUUCUUCUCCCCAAAGGCCCCCCAGUACAAAGCUGUAUAUUCUAGUUGUAGGUCUUUCUAGUUGUGUUAUGUGGGAUGCUGCCUCAACACGACUUGAUGAGCAGUGCCAUGUCUGCACCCAGGAACGAACCAGCGAAACCCUGGGCCGCCGAAGCAAAGCCCGCAAACUUAAUCACUCAUCCAGGGGGCUGGCGCCACAUUUGUGCAUUGUUAACCAAGAAUCUGAUUUAACCAUUCACCGUUGGUGUGAUACAUUCCAAGGUUACUCCUUCAAGGCAACUGCAACAUCCCAAAGGACCUGAUAAUGACCUCCUUAAAAUACAACCAUCAAAGAAGAUAGUGCGCCUAUUUCCCAGCUUCUGUGGGCAGAUAAUGCUUCCUCAAAAGGCAACUUUUGGUUCUCCAUUGGCAAAGGAUCCCAUCUCUUCAUCUAUAUUGUGUUUAACCUUGAUUUCAAACAGCGAAAACGAGCUCUGGCAACUUCAGAAGCUAGCCAUCAUCUCCUACUAGCCAGCAAGUCUUAGAUAAAGAGUGAAAACGUAGUGGUGAUGACUCAAGAGCACAGCCCUGCCUGUGCUUGGAACUGGGCACCAGUAGUCAGCAAACAGACAUGGAUGCAGGAAAAGAGAUGGGAGGGCAGCCAGUCGAACUUCAUCUAACGGUCCUUGUAGCAGGAUUUAACAUCUAUGUGUUAUGCCAUCAUGAUGUAAUGGUUGCCAUGUUGCCUUCUUUUCAAGAAUUUUCUAAAGAACAAUGUACUAAUUGUAUAAAAAUAAUAUACAUUCUUUAUUAAAUUUGGAGUAACAUAGUAAAUCACAAAGAAGAGUGAACAUUAAGAGAACAUUAUUCCAUAGAUCUCUUUAUGCAUAUAUAUAUAGAGAGAGAAAAUAAACAGAUAAGCUGUAAAACUUUGUAAAUGGUAUCAUGUUAUAUAAGGCUUUUAACUUCACUUGAGUUUCGUGGUGGAAGAAAAAUCUUAAGUGAAGCUAAGAAAACUGCUAACAUUCAGAUAAUGGUUUAGCCAGAAGUAAUAAUAAUUCUUUAGCAAAAGAGUUUUUCCUAAAAGAUCUAAAAAGCUUAGUAAAACCAUUAAUAAAUGGAAUCUUUGUGUUUUAACAUGAUUUCUCAAUUUUAGAGAGUAUUUAUUGACCUUCUACUUAGGAAGAAAAAAUGAAGAAAUGCAUCUACCUCUCAAAUAUAUUAUAUUACUAUUUUUACUGCACUUAGUCUCCAAAUGCUCUUCCCACAGUUCUUCU
rnacentral:lncRNA from 1 species